GACGAACGCUGGCGGCGUGCUUAACACAUGCAAGUCGAGCGGAAAGGCCCUUCGGGGUACUCGAGCGGCGAACGGGUGAGUAACACGUGGGUAACCUGCCCCUUGCUCUGGGAUAACUCCGGGAAACCGGGGCUAAUACCGGAUACGACCACUUUAGGCAUCUUCGGUGGUGGAAAGUUUUUCGGCGAGGGAUGGACCCGCGGCCUAUCAGCUUGUUGGUGGGGUAAUGGCCUACCAAGGCAGUGACGGGUAGCCGGCCUGAGAGGGCGACCGGCCACACUGGGACUGAGACACGGCCCAGACUCCUACGGGAGGCAGCAGUGGGGAAUAUUGGGUCAAUGGACGAAAGUCUGAACCAGCCAUGCCGCGUGGAGGAUGAAGGUCCUCUGGAUUGUAAACUUCUUUAUAGGGACGAAAAAGGAAAUUCUUUUCCGUCUGACGGUACCCUAUGAAUAAGCACCGGCUAACUCCGUGCCAGCAGCCGCGGUAAC
rnacentral:rRNA from 1 species